CGCUGGCGGCGUGCCUAACACAUGCAAGUCGAGCGAGGAGAUCCUUCGGGAUGAUCCUAGCGGCGGACGGGUGAGUAACACGUGGGCAACCUGCCUCAUAGAGAGGAAUAGCCUUCCGAAAGGGAGAUUAAUACCUCAUAACAUUGCAGUUUCGCAUGGAACAGCAAUUAAAGGAGUAAUCCGCUAUGAGAUGGGCCCGCGGCGCAUUAGCUAGUUGGUGAGGUAACGGCUCACCAAGGCGACGAUGCGUAGCCGACCUGAGAGGGUGAUCGGCCACAUUGGGACUGAGACACGGCCCAGACUCCUACGGGAGGCAGCAGUGGGGAAUAUUGCACAAUGGGGGAAACCCUGAUGCAAGCAACGCCGCGUGAGUGAUGACGGCCUUCGGGUUGUAAAGCUCUGUCUUCAGGGACGAUAAUGACGGUACCUGAGGAGGAAGCCACGGCUAACUACGUGCCAGCCGCAGC
rnacentral:rRNA from 1 species